AUACGGAGGGUCCAAGCGUUGUCCGGAAUCAUUGGGUUUAAAGGGUCCGCAGGCGGUCAAUUAAGUCAGAGGUGAAAGCCCAUCGCUCAACGAUGGAACUGCCUUUGAUACUGGUUGACUUGAGUUAUACGGAAGUAGAUAGAAUAAGUAGUGUAGCGGUGAAAUGCAUAGAUAUUACUUAGAAUACCGAUUGCGAAGGCAGUCUACUACGUAUAUUCUGACGCUGAGGGACGAAAGCGUGGGGAGCGAACAGGAUUAGAAACCCCAGUAGUCC
rnacentral:rRNA from 1 species